AACAAGGUGUGAUGAUUGCCAUCAAGAGAUUCAUGUUGAUGAAACUAUUGAACAUGCAAAUGUUUGUCCUGGAUGAACAUCACAUGCAUAUUCAAUAGGAGGAGGUGAAGGAGAAAGUACAGAGAAUUCUCACUCAGUUGCAGGAACGAGCAGUCCAAUUGCAUCUGACAUCACCACUAUUAAAGCUAUAUUUCCCAUGCACACAAUAUCCAAAAUAUCAUCCGCUCUUGAAAUAGCUGAUGGCAAUACUGAAGAAGCAGUCAACUUACUUUUACAUGUUGAUAACUCCGAAGAAGUUACCGUCGGUGUCGGUAUUGUUGACAGUCUUGACGAUGUGCUUCGGCUUAUACGGCCGACGAGUGGACAAGCACCUACGCGGCUAACUGUUGCCAGAGAUUCAGUAUUUGAAGAUAGCAUUGCCUUUUUUAAGGAGCGUAGUUUUGAUUUUUCAAAGCCCAUGAAAAUUACCUUCGAAGGAGAGCCAGCAAUAGAUGGCGGCGGGCCACUUCGAGAAUAUUUCACCAUUUUAAUGAGAAUGUUGUUGUCUUCUAUGAGUAUACGUCUUUUCGAGGGGAAUGAUUCGUGUUUUCUUCCUAUUCACAACACGGACGCAUUACGUUCAAAUCUGUUCAAAGUAGCUGGAAGAAUGGUAACCUCGUCAAUUAUCCAAGGUGGUCCAGGUUUGCCAAUAUUUUCGCAUGCAGUUUAUCUAUACUUUCAGCACGGGAACCCCGAUGAAAUUGGUCAACACGUCAGCAAAGACGACGUUAUCGAUGUAGAAAUCCUUCAUACGUUAGCAAAGUUAGAUGGCCUAAAAUCCCAGGAUGUGCCCUCAGUAGCCGCUGAAUAUCAAGAACGGCUGAUAGAGGCUGGUUUCCCUCAUGUUCUUACAGUGGAAAACCGGCUCCAGGCGAUGACUUCGUUAUGCCUC